rnacentral:tRNA from 1 species
GCCGGAGUGGCGGAAUAGGCAGACGCAAGGGACUUAAAAUCCCUCGAUGUUCGCAUCGUGCCGGUUCAAGUCCGGCCUCCGGCA